UGCACCACUGCACUCCAGCCUGUGUGACAGAGUGAUACCCUGUUUCUAAAAAAUAAAGUAAAGUAACCUGAGUGAGGGUGGGAGAGAGUUAACCAAAGAAAACUGAAAAUAAUACUAGAACCUUCGCUAUUACGGGCAGAAAGUUUCCUGCAAGCAGCAGCCAAGUUCCCAGAGAGGAAAAAAGUGUGUGUCUGUGUGUGUGUGUUUAGCUUCAAAAUCACAAAACACUUAGGUACUAUGUUUUAUUUCUCCAAUUUUCCUUCUUUCCAAAAAAAAGAAAGAAAAAAAAAUGAAUGCAAGGAGCAGAGGUCUCAGAAAUCUUCAGGCAGUCCUGCCUGAAUUGCUAAAGCAAGGAAGCUGAGGGCCUUGCAGCCCAUUCCUCUAGUACCUAUGGCGUCUGGGGCCUGCAGCAGGUGUGGCGGUGACGCGGGUUAUUUGUUUUCCAGGGUCAGGUUGGCACAUUUCUAGCCCAGGGCUCUGGGUAAAUGUUUAGAUUUCAUUUUCUGUCUGGUGUUCAACUCCUGGGCGUCAAAGGCAGGCCCCUGCAUGCUGCUGCCCUCCUACGUCCUUUGUCUCCUCCCAGGGGCUGGUGGGAAUUCAAGAGGUGAGAGGAAAAGGGAGGGGAGGGAGUGGACGCUUUGCUGCGGUUCCAGCUCUCCCAAAGAGCCGCUUUCAAGACACAGCAUCCUCCUCUCCCUCGCCCUCUCUAGGGAGGGCUUGCAGCGCCCCAGUACUGGGAAUGGGGCUUGUUUACACAGCUCAUUAUUCGCUCUUUGCAGUUGCUAUAGCAACCACCAGGGGUCAGUUUAUAGAAGGAGAGGAAGUUCACUUUUGGGGAGUUAACCUUCCAGCUCCUGUGCAAAGCGCAGCUGAAAACAAAAGCCCCAGACACCCAUGGAGGAAACACAUCGAAAAGCUUCCUAUGAACGGAGAGGCAGCACCCCAUCAGAGCAGCGCACCCAUCUCGAGAUCCACACCCACCAGAGAGGAGCGGCGCUGCUUCUGUAGAGCUUGCAGGGAAGACCCCCAGGACGCCUGGCCAGUGAAGAGUGUCCAGCACUAACCUGCUUAGCUAACCCGAUUCAGCAAACAAAUAAUACAGAUGCCCAGUUAAAUCUGACCUGCAGAAAAACAAGGAAUUUUUGUGUAAGUCUUCCAUGUAGCAUCUGGACCAUAUAUACAGUAAGUCUAUAGAACCUAACAUAAGCCAGUCCUUGCCCUCCUCCUCACUGGCCACCAUCACCUCCAAAAGAGUUUAGUAGAUAAGUUCUCUUUUAUAAGCAAAUAAAGUGCCAGCUUACUGUUCAGGAUGAUCUAGGCCUUGGACUAUCAGGCUGAUCAUGAAAAAAAAAUGAAAGGGAGUGAUUUACAUAUAUGCAAGUCAUAAACCAGAGGCUAGGCUAGCCACAGACAGCCACUCAUCUUCCCUCAGAUCUAAACACCAGCAUGAGUUACUUGAUUGGUAAAUGCAAUAGAACUCAUUUUGUGAAUUAUCUAAAAUCCAUAAAGGGUAAUGAUUUCUAUUUGUUUGAAAGGAAAAACAUUUUUGCUGUGUAUGUGUUUAAAGGAAUAGACCAAAUUUGUUUCUGAGCGCUACGCAUGUACAGGGGAGACAGUGAUAUUUGCAUUUAUCAAAGUCACACCCUUCCCAGCAUUUCUUUUGCUAAGGUUUUACCGCUUCUUCAUCAAGAAGGCUGGCUCAGUGAAAGUUUUACUGAAUUUUGUAGAAAUUCUGGAAAACCUAGACCAUUAGUUGUAAUGCUGUGCUGACCCUAAAUCCACGAACCCAAAACUUAAGGCAAAAAAAAAAAAAAAAAAAAAAAUUAAGAAGCAUAAACUUUUAUGAAAACAAAGCAAAUAGCAGCUGUAGUAUAUUCCAUCAGGUCCCCACCAACUCAGACUGCAGACUCCCACAGCUCUGAUCCAAAACAGGGAAUUAAAGGAAAACUGUCAAGCUAAACAUUAUCAACAAUAAAAAUAUUCUCACCUGUUGCUAACUCUAAAAAUCUCAAUAUAGAUUUCACAGAGAAAAAAAAAGUGUUAGUUUUAGAAGCUGAUCCUUCUAAAGCCCAGAACAGUGAGUUCUAAUUUUGUCUCUUCAAUGUCUGGUUGUGACCUCCGUGGAAGUCUGUGGACAGUUCUGACUUGGUCUCCCUGUGGGCAAAAUGCAGAUACUGAAUUAUACGUGUUCUUUGCCUAAUCAAGAGUGUAUAAUAAGAAUGUCUAUACCUAUACUCUGAGCUCUUCAGACAAAAGGCAGGAAGUAGAAAUGUGAUUAUUUGUGCUGUUCACUUUUUAAACAAGCAACUUGAUUUAGAAGUUGAAAUCAGUUUAGUUGUUUGGUUUGGUUUGAUUUAAAGCACUUUGAAAUAACUUCAUUUUGGAAACCCUAUUUUCAUUUAUUUAAACCAAUAGUCCUCUGCUUUUUUUCUUAAUCAUUUGUUAAUAAACCCUACAUUUGAA